UUUUAAUUGUUCUUUUAGUUUCUCUCGGUAAUACUCCAAUAAAUGCCAAGCUUUCAAUCGAUGUAGGAGAGAGUAUUAUAAAAAUUCAAACUAUGUUAUCAGAAAAUGUGAGAUACAAUUGUGGCUUGUCGGGAAGCUUUGCGGGAUCUUCGGGAUCAACAUCUCAAAUAGUAGUUGUAUCAUCCACUAAUACUGAAUGUGAUGUCCUGCGA
rnacentral:lncRNA from 1 species